rnacentral:rRNA from 1 species
GAUGAACGCUGGCGGCGUGCUUAACACAUGCAAGUCGAACGGGAAUUACUUUAUUGAAACUUCGGUCGAUUUAAUUUAAUUCUAGUGGCGGACGGGUGAGUAACGCGUGGGUAACCUGCCUUAUACAGGGGGAUAACAGUCAGAAAUGGCUGCUAAUACCGCAUAAGCGCACAGAGCUGCAUGGCUCAGUGUGAAAAACUCCGGUGGUAUAAGAUGGACCCGCGUUGGAUUAGCUAGUUGGUGGGGUAACGGCCCACCAAGGCGACGAUCCAUAGCCGGCCUGAGAGGGUGAACGGCCACAUUGGGACUGAGACACGGCCCAGACUCCUACGGGAGGCAGCAGUGGGGAAUAUUGCACAAUGGGGGAAACCCUGAUGCAGCGACGCCGCGUGAAGGAAGAAGUAUCUCGGUAUGUAAACUUCUAUCAGCAGGGAAGAUAGUGACGGUACCUGACUAAGAAGCCCCGGCUAACUACGUGCCAGCAGCCGCGGUAAAACGUAGGGGGCAAGCGUUAUCCGGAAUUACUGGGUGUAAAGGGAGAACAGACGGGAGGACAAGUUGGAAGUGAAAUCUAUAGGCUCAACCCUGUAAUCUGCUUUCAAAACUGUUUUUCAUGAGUAGUGCAGAGGUAGGCGGAAUUCCCGGUG